AGACGGGACCCGCACAAGCGUGGAUGAUGCGGAUUAAUUCGAUGCAACGCGAAAACCUUACCUACCCUUGACAUGUCCGGAAUCCCGAAGAGAUUUGGGAGUGCUCGCAAGAGAACCGGAACACAGGUGCUGCAUGGCUGUCGUCAGCUCGUGUCGUGAGAUGUUGGGUUAAGUCCCGCAGCGAGCGCAACCCUUGUCAUUAGUUGCCAUCAUUUGGUUGGGCACUCUAAUGAGACUGCCGGUGACAAAACCGGAGGAAGGUGGGGAUGACGUCAAGUCCUCAUGGCCCUUAUGGGUAGGGCUUCACACGUCAUACAAUGGUCGGUACAGAGGGUUGCCAACCCGCGAGGGGGAGCUAAUCCCACAAAGCCGAUCGUAGUCCGGAUCGCAGUCUGCAACUCGACUGCGUGAAGUCGGAAUCGCUAGUAAUCGUGGAUCAGCAUGUCACGGUGAAUACGUUCCCGGGUCUU
rnacentral:rRNA from 1 species